UGAUAAUUAGUUUAAACUAAAACAAGUGAUUUCGACUCACUAAAUUGUGCUCUGGCAUAAUUAUCAA
rnacentral:tRNA from 1 species